UGACGGCGUGCCUAACACAUGCAAGUCGAACGAAGUCUUCGGACUUAGUGGCGCACGGGUGAGUAACGCGUGGGAACCUGCCCUGAGGUGGGGAAUAACCACUGGAAACGGUGGCUAAUACCGCAUACGCCCUGAGGGGCAAAGGCUUCGGCCGCUUUAGGAUGGGCCCACGUCCGAUUAGCUUGUUGGUGGGGUAAUGGCCUACCAAGGCGACGAUCGGUAGCUGGUCUGAGAGGAUGAUCAGCCACACUGGGACUGAGACACGGCCCAGACUCC
rnacentral:rRNA from 1 species